CCGAACGGCCGUCUCGUCCUCCCUGAGAAAAGGAAACAGAGGGUUAGGAGGGCCGGGGCCGCCCGGCCGCCCUGCGUCCUUGCGGUCACUGGGUCGCCAGCCACGGGGCCUCUUCUGGGUCUGUUGCUGGAAAUGAUGCCGCACGGAGCAAGUCUUUGACCCCGUGUCUCCAGCAUCCUUUAGCCCGUCGGACCUCCAAGUGCCUCAGGGCAAAUAGGACGCAGAGAGUUGGGGGUCUCGUCUGAGAACGUUGCAUUUUCCGGGCGUGAAAAGCGCAACUGAUAUAUUACCAGGUUUUGAAGGAGCUCGUUUCCUCGGCCAAGAUUCCCGGGGACCGGGGGAAGCGGCCCGUGAACGAUGACAGGGACAGGCUCCUCUGUGGGAGCUGAGGUGCUGAUGUGACGGGCACACCCUUGCUUGGGCCGCCAGGGAGGGGCCACUGCUCAGCUGGUCUCCCCGGGGACAGUCCCCUCCCAUGAGCCCUCUUCUGCGUCACCAAGAAAACCAGCCUCCCAGAGGGGCCGGCCACUAACUCCGACCUCAGGGUCUUAAAACAUGUGAAUUGACAUGUUUUCUGGACAAAUACAAUUUGCAAUAAAAAAAAAAAAAAAAAGAGUUGGCAGUCGUGGAGGUGGAGACGGCUGGGCGGGGACAACUUCUUCCAGGGAGCAUGGCUGGGCAUCGGCUCUGAGAAGGUGGCACUUGUCACCCCAGAUGUCACUUAGAUUAACUCGGAAAAGGGCGCUUUUUUUUUUUGCCUUUGAAUUUUCAUUCAAAUUUUAGUCUCUUUGGAUUUCCCUUUUCUCUUAGGUUAUGGAUGAAAAAUUGACCUCUCAAAGAUUCAUUCCCUUGCGACUGUGAGCCCCCAGAGAGCAAGACAGACAUGAAAUACCCUGUUGACCAGAUGACAGACGGGCACCUAUUGACCUGACCUCGGCCAUGCCUCCGUCCCUCACGUUACCAGAAAUAAGAAACAUCCCUAUGUUGCUGAACAACUCACCAGAGGAAUUUUAUUUUCACAAGCGAGAAGGAGCAGAGUCACGGCCCCAUCUGACAAAGUACACCUGUGCUGAGACGGAGUCAGCGCCCCACGCCCUGGGCCAGACAGUUCACGGGAGACGCCACUCAAUGUCCUCGGGGCUCCUUGUGAAAUGAUAAAUGGCACAUUUGGGGGGUUUAUUUUCUAUCAUCGUGCCUACAAUUUAUUGAGCAUCUCCCGCGAGCUAAAUCCGUGACGUCUGUUUCCUCUUGUGAACGAGCAAGCCAACAUGGAGGGAGGUGUUGUUAGCAUCCCCCUUGCCUGGUCGAAAGAGCUGAAGCUCAGAGAGGCUGCAUAAUUUCCCCAAAGUCAGCCAGCCAAAGGGGUUAGAACCCCAGAUGAGGAGGGAAAUCGUCCUAACUGCAGACGUCUGGGUUCAGCCCUGGGACGUUCUUGUUCAGAAGUCUUGGGAGACCCAGAAAUGGUCUGGGCAUUGCAGGCAACCUCCCGGCCAGGCUUGGGCCACUGGUGGAAACCCUGCAGUUCCGGGUUUAGACCCAGAGCUCUUCCGGGGUCUGUAUCCUCGCCGUCUCGCUGCUACAUUUCAGAAUCGAGACACGUAUAUCGUGAUGGUCUCUGUUGCUUGGACGUUUAGGUAGAAUUUAUUUUCUUAUCUGAUUUGCCUCAGAAUUGACAUUUUGAAGAGUGGGUCCUGCCUCUGGUUUUUUUGCUUGUUUGUUUGCUUUUGUGUUUCUGUUUUUUGGCUGU